CGAACGCUGGCGGCGUGCUUAACACAUGCAAGUCGAACGGAAAGGCCCCUUUGGGGGUACUCGAGUGGCGAACGGGUGAGUAACACGUGAGUAACCUGCCCUUGACUUCGGGAUAACUUCAGGAAACUGGGGCUAAUACCGGAUAGGAAUCCUUGCUGCAUGGUGGGGGUUGGAAAGCUUCGGCGGUUUUGGAUGGACUCGCGGCUUAUCAGCUUGUUGGUGGGGUAGUGGCUUACCAAGGCUUUGACGGGUAGCCGGCCUGAGAGGGCGACCGGCCACAUUGGGACUGAGAUACGGCCCAGACUCCUACGGGAGGCAGCAGUGGGGAAUAUUGCACAAUGGGCGGAAGCCUGAUGCAGCAACGCCGCGUGCGGGAUGACGGCCUUCGGGUUGUAAACCGCUUUCAGCAGGGGCGAAGCUUUUGUGACGGUACCUGCAGAAGAAGCACCGGCUAACUACGUG
rnacentral:rRNA from 1 species